GCAGGUGUAAAAUGUUGGUGAAUGUUGAAUUUUUUUUUUUUUUUCAUAAUUUAGAUUAAAACGGUUUUCCCCCAUUAUUGCACGUUAAAUCGUCGUUUUAACAUAAUGGUUGGUUUUGUAAGGUACUAAUAUAAUUCAUCAAGUGCACGGAUGAGACAGUUAUGAUGGAUCUUCGAAAUGAAUACAUGGAUAAGGCGCUCGUUUGAUUAAAAAA
rnacentral:lncRNA from 1 species